UAGCUGUAAACGAUACUCGCUAGGUGUCGGCCACGGUGCGACCGUUGUCGGUGCCGUAGGGAAGCCGUGAAGCGAGCCACCUGGGAAGUACGGCCGCAAGGCUGAAACUUAAAGGAAUUGGCGGGGGAGGCACAACAACGGGUGGAGCUUGCGGUUUAAUUUGGAUUCAACGCCGGAAAUCUUACCGGGACCGACAGCAACAUGAAGGCCAAGCUGAAGACUUUGCCGGAUUAGCUGAGAGGUGGUGCAUGGCGUAGUCGUGU
rnacentral:rRNA from 1 species